rnacentral:rRNA from 1 species
UCAGUCGACUCCUACGGGGAGGCAGCAGUGGGGGAAUAUUGCACAAUGGGCGCAAGCCUGAUGCAGCCAUGCCGCGUGUGUGAAGAAGGCCUUCGGGUUGUAAAGCACUUUCAGUCGUGAGGAAGGUAGUGUAGUUAAUAGCUGCAUUAUUUGACGUUAGCGACAGAAGAAGCACCGGCUAACUCCGUGCCAGCAGCCGCGGUAAUACGGAGGGUGCGAGCGUUAAUCGGAAUUACUGGGCGUAAAGCGCAUGCAGGUGGUUUGUUAAGUCAGAUGUGAAAGACCCGGGGCUCAACCUCGGAAUUGCAUUUGAAACUGGCAGACUAGAGUACUGUAGAGGGGGGUAGGAAUUUCAGGUGUAGCGGUGAAAUGCGUAGAGAUCUGAAGGAAUACCGGUGGCGAAGGCGGCCCCCUCGGACAGAUACUGACACUCAGAUGCGAAAGCGUGGGGAGCAAACAGGAUUAGAUACCCUGGUAG